rnacentral:misc_RNA from 1 species
UUUCCGUAGGUGAACCUGCGGAAGGAUCAUUAUCGUAGGGCCUCGGCCCAGUCGAGAUAGAACCCUUGCCUUUGUGAAUACCGUCCGUUUCCUCGGCAGGUCCGCCUGCCGAUGGCCAAACAAAUAAUCCCGUUAUACCCCGUUUCAGUCUGGAAAAACAAAUAUAAAUUAAAACUUUCAACAACGGAUCUCUUGGUUCUG